rnacentral:rRNA from 1 species
UACGUAGGGGGCUAGCGUUGUCCGGAUUUAUUGGGCGUAAAGAGCGUGUAGGCGGCUAUUUAAGUCCUGCGUGAAAUCCUGCGGCUCAACCGCAGACGGUCGUGGGAAACUGGAUGGCUAGAGUGCGGUAGGGGAGAUUGGAAUUCCUGGUGUAGCGGUGGAAUGCGCAGAUAUCAGGAGGAACACCAAUGGCGAAGGCAGAUCUCUGGGCCGUAACUGACGCUGAGGAGCGAAAGCAUGGGGAGCGAACAGG